rnacentral:piRNA from 1 species
UCACAGGCCCAGGGCAACGAGGAUUC